rnacentral:rRNA from 1 species
UAGGGAAUCUUCGGCAAUGGGGGGAACCCUGACCGAGCAACGCCGCGUGAGUGAAGAAGGUUUUCGGAUCGUAAAGCUCUGUUGUUAAGGAAGAACGAGUGUGAGAAUGGAAAGUUCAUACUGUGACGGUACUUAACCAGAAAGGGACGGCUAACUACGUGCCAGCAGCCGCGGUAAUACGUAGGUCCCGAGCGUUGUCCGGAUUUAUUGGGCGUAAAGCGAGCGCAGGCGGUUAGAUAAGUCUGAAGUUAAAGGCAGUGGCUCAACCAUUGUAGGCUUUGGAAACUGUUUAACUUGAGUGCAGAAGGGGAGAGUGGAAUUCCAUGUGUAGCGGUGAAAUGCGUAGAUAUAUGGAGGAACACCAGUGGCGAAGGCGACUCUCUGGUCUGUACUGACGCUGAGGUUCGAAAGCGUGGGUAGCAAACAGG